AUUACCCUGCUGUGUACGUAAGCACUCUGGCUGUUUACUUCCAACACAUCAUCAAAGGGAGCCUGGACUCUGUCACCGGCGUGUGGGCCGCGUGAAGGCGUGGAACGCAAACGUGAUGGGAGGGCACCCACCUCGCGGGCGAGGGGAGAAACGGCCAAGGCUACGGCAUGGUGGGGUCAUU
rnacentral:other from 1 species